AAUCAACGCUGGCGGCGUGCCUCAGACAUGCAAGUCGAACGAUUAAAGCUCUCUUCGGAGAGUGCAUAGAGUGGCGCACGGGUGAGUAACACGUAAGUAAUCUACCUUCGAGUGGGGAAUAACAGUCGGAAACGACUGCUAAUACCGCAUAAUGCAGCGGCAUCGCAAGAUGACAGUUGUUAAAGGAGCAAUUCGCUUGAAGAGGAGCUUGCGGCAGAUUAGCUUGUUGGUAAGGUAACGGCUUACCAAGGCUACGAUCUGUAACCGGUCUAAGAGGACGGUCGGUCACACUGACACUGAAUAACGGGUCAGACUCCUACGGGAGGCGAGCAGUCGGGAAUAUUGGACAAUGGGCGCAAGCCUGAUCCAGCCAUGCCGCGUGAGUGACGAAGGUCUUCGGUAUUGUAAAG
rnacentral:rRNA from 1 species